AGCGAACGCUGGCGGCGUGCCUAACACAUGCAAGUCGUACGAGAAGGGGGCCGCAAGGCCCCUGGUACAGUGGCGAACGGGUGAGUAACACGUGGGUAACCUGCCCUUGGGUUCGGAAUAACCUGUCGAAAGGCGGGCUAAUACCGAAUGACAUCGCAUAGUCUUCGGACCGUGCGAUCAAAGCUGACCUCUUCAUGAAAGUUGGCGCCUGGGGAGGGGCCCGCGGCCCAUUAGCUAGNGGUGAGGUAACGGCUCACCAAGGCUCCGAUGGGUAGCCGGCCUGAGAGGGCGACCGGCCACAGUGGAACUGAGACACGGUCCACACUCCUACGGGAGGCAGCAGUGAGGAAUCUUGCGCAAUGGGGGAAACCCUGACGCAGCGACGCCGCGUGGACGAUGAAGGCCUGGUCGUAAGU
rnacentral:rRNA from 1 species